GGCUCUUUGAUUUUUAAUAGAUAAAGAGUCGGACCUGCCCGGUGACGUAGUGUUAAACGGCCGCGGUACCCUAACCGUGCAAAGGUAGCAUAAUCAUUUGCCUUUUAAUUGGAGGCUGGUAUGAAUGGUUUAACGAAAGCUAAGCUGUCUCUUUAAAAAUACUUAGAAAUUAACGUUUAGGUGAAGAGGCCUAAAUCUGAUUAAGGGACAAGAAGACCCUAUUGAGCUUAAGUGGUUUUGAAAAUGAGUUCUGGUAAAUGUCUUAAAUUUAUUUAAUAAGUUUUUCACUUAAUCUUUAGUUGGGGCGACUGAGGAACAAAUAAAGCUUCCUUGAAUUACUAAGUAGUAAACACAAGUGUGAUAUGGGUUAUGGCUUACAGGCUCUAUUGAUCCGGUAUGCUGCCGAUUAAGGGAAAAAGUUACCAUAGGGAUAACAGCGUAAUCUUUCUGGAGAGACCUUAUCGAAAGAAGGGUUUGCGACCUCGAUGUUGGACUAAGAUAUCCUGAGGGUGCAGAAGCUCUCGAUGGUUGGUCUGUUCGACCAUUAAAAUCUU
rnacentral:rRNA from 1 species